ACUCAAAUGAAUAGACGGGGACUUGCACAAGCGGUGGAUCAUGCGGCUCAAUUCGAUGGCAAACGAAGAACCUCACCAGGGUUUGAAACCCAACUGUAAGCCUUAGGAAACUUUGGCCCUCGCAAGACUGUUGGGCAGGUGAUGCAUGGUCGUCGUCAGUUCGUGGCUUGAGUUGUUCCCUUCAGUGGGGUAACGAACGCAACCCUCGUUGCCUGUUUUCUAUGUCAGGCGAGACUGCCCCCUCACGGGGGAGGAAGGUGAGGAUGACGCCAGAUCAGCAUGUCCCUCUGAUACCCUGGGCUGCACGCAUGAUACAAUGCACAUGACAACGGGUCGCGACGGGGUAACCCUGAGCUAAUCCUUAUAAACAUGUGCCCAGUUCGGAUUGAGGUCUGCAACUCGACCUCAUGAAGCCGGAAUCGCUAGUAAUCGCGGGUCAGCUAUACCGCGGUGAAUACGUUCUCAAGUCUUGUACACACCGCCCGU
rnacentral:rRNA from 1 species